UGGGGAAUUUUGCUCAAUGGGCGCAAGCCUGAAGCAGCAACGCCGCGUGGAGGAUGAAGGAUCUAGGUUCGUAAACUCCUUUUAUCAGGGAAGAAAUUUGACGGUACCUGAUGAAUAAGCACCGGCUAACUCCGUGCCAGCAGCCGCGGUAAUACGGGGGGUGCAAGCGUUACUCGGAAUCACUGGGCGUAAAGGGAGCGUAGGCGUUUUAUUAAGUCUCGAGUGAAAGCCCGCAGCUCAACUGCGGAACUGCUCGGGAAACUGAUAGAAUUGAGUAUGGAAGAGGUCGGUGGAAUUUCCAGUGUAGGGGUAAAAUCCGUAGAUAUUGGAAGGAAUACCAGAAGCGAAGGCGACCGACUGGGACAUUACUGACGCUGAGGCUCGAAAGCGUGGGGAGCAAACAGG
rnacentral:rRNA from 1 species